GACGAACGCUGGCGGCGUGCUUAACACAUGCAAGUCGAACGGAAAGGCCCUGCUUUUGUGGGGUGCUCGAGUGGCGAACGGGUGAGUAACACGUGAGUAACCUGCCCUUGACUUUGGGAUAACUUCAGGAAACUGGGGCUAAUACCGGAUAGGAGCUCCUGCUGCAUGGUGGGGGUUGGAAAGUUUCGGCGGUUGGGGAUGGACUCGCGGCUUAUCAGCUUGUUGGUGGGGUAGUGGCUUACCAAGGCUUUGACGGGUAGCCGGCCUGAGAGGGUGACCGGCAACAUUGGGACGGAGAUACGGCCCAGACUCCUACGGGAGGCAGCAGUGGGGAAUAUUGCACAAUGGGCGGAAGCCUGAUGCAGCAACGCCGCGUGCGGGAUGACGGCCUUCGGGUUGUAAACCGCUUUCGCCUGUGACGAAGCGUGAGUGACGGUAAUGGGGAAAGAAGCACCGGCUAACUACGU
rnacentral:rRNA from 1 species